rnacentral:rRNA from 1 species
GUUGCAGGGUAUAGACCCGAAACCCGGUGAUCUAGCCAUGGGCAGGUUGAAGGUUGGGUAACACUAACUGGAGGACCGAACCGACUAAUGUUGAAAAAUUAGCGGAUGACUUGUGGCUGGGGGUGAAAGGCCAAUCAAACCGGGAGAUAGCUGGUUCUCCCCGAAAGCUAUUUAGGUAGCGCCUCGUGAAUUCAUCUCCGGGGGUAGAGCACUGUUUCGGCAAGGGGGUCAUCCCGACUUACCAACCCGAUGCAAACUGCGAAUACCGGAGAAUGUUAUCACGGGAGACACACGGCGGGUGCUAACGUCCGUCGUGAAGAGGGAAACAACCCAGACCGCCAGCUAAGGUCCCAAAGUCAUGGUUAAGUGGGAAACGAUGUGGGAAGGCCCAGACAGCCAGGAUGUUGGCUUAGAAGCAGCCAUCAUUUAAAGAAAGCGUAAUAGCUCACUGGUCGAGUCGGCCUGCGCGGAAGAUGUAACGGGG